rnacentral:rRNA from 1 species
GUGCCAGCCGCCGCGGUAAUACGUAGGUGGCAAGCGUUGUCCGGAUUUAUUGGGCGUAAAGCGAGCGCAGGCGGUUUCUUAAGUCUGAUGUGAAAGCCUUCGGCUCAACCGAAGAAGUGCAUCGGAAACUGGGAAACUUGAGUGCAGAAGAGGACAGUGGAACUCCAUGUGUAGCGGUGAAAUGCGUAGAUAUAUGGAAGAACACCAGUGGCGAAGGCGGCUGUCUGGUCUGUAACUGACGCUGAGGCUCGAAAGCAUGGGUAGCAAACAGGAUUAGAUACCCUGGUAGUCCAUGCCGUAAACGAUGAGUGCUAGGUGUUGGAGGGUUUCCGCCCUUCAGUGCCGCAGCUAACGCAUUAAGCACUCCGCCUGGGGAGUACGACCGCAAGGUUGAAACUCAAAGGAAUUGACGGGGGCCCGCACAAGCGGUGGAGCAUGUGGUUUAAUUCGAAGCAACGCGAAGAACCUUACCAGGUCUUGACAUCCUUUGACCACUCUAGAGAUAGAGCUUUCCCUUCGGGGACAAAGUGACAGGUGGUGCAUGGUUGUCGUCAGCUCGUGUCGUGAGAUGUUGGGUUAAGUCCCGCAACGAGCGCAACCCUUAUUACUAGUUGCCAGCAUUAGGUUGGGCACUCUAGUGAGACUGCCGGUGACAAACCGGAGGAAGGUGGGGACGACGUCAAAUCAUCAUGCCCCUUAUGACCUGGGCUACACACGUGCUACAAUGGAUGGUACAACGAGUUGCGAGACCGCGAGGUUUAGCUAAUCUCUUAAAACCAUUCUCAGUUCGGAUUGUAGGCUGCAACUCGCCUACAUGAAGCCGGAAUCGCUAGUAAUCGCGGAUCAGCAUGCCGCGGUGAAUACGUUCCCGGGCCUUGUACACACCGCCCGU